AGAGCGAACGCUGGCGGCAGGCCUAACACAUGCAAGUCGAGCGCCCGUAGCAAUACGGGAGCGGCAGACGGGAUAGUAACACGUGGGAACGCGCCCUUCGGUUCGGAAUAACUCAGGGAAACUUGAGCUAAUACCGGAUACGCCCUUACGGGGAAAGAUUUAUUGCCGAAGGAACGGCCCGCGUCCGAUUAGCUAGUUGGUGAGGUAAUGGCUCACCAAGGCGACGAUCGGUAGCUGGUCUGAGAGGAUGACCAGCAUCACUGGGACUGAGACACGGCCCAGACUCCUACGGGAGGCAGCAGUGGGGAAUAUUGGACAAUGGGCGCAAGCCUGAUCCAGCCAUGCCGCGUGGAUGAUGAAGGCCUUAGGGCUGUAAAGUCCUUUUAACGGGGAGAUAAUGACGGUACCCGUAGAAUAAGCCCCGGCUAACUUCGUGCCAGCAGCCGC
rnacentral:rRNA from 1 species